GACGAACGCUGGCGGCGUGCUUAACACAUGCAAGUCGAACGGAGAGGCCCUGCUUUUGUGGGGUGCUCGAGUGGCGAACGGGUGAGUAACACGUGAGUAACCUGCCCUUGACUUUGGGAUAACUUCAGGAAACUGGGGCUAAUACCGGAUAGGAGCUCCUGCUGCAUGGUGGGGGUUGGAAAGUUUCGGCGGCUGGGGAUGGACUCGCGGCUUAUCAGCUUGUUGGUGGGGUAGUGGCUUACCAAGGCUUUGACGGGUAGCCGGCCUGAGAGGGUGACCGGCCACAUUGGGACUGAGAUACGGCCCAGACUCCUACGGGAGGCAGCAGUGGGGAAUAUUGCACAAUGGGCGGAAGCCUGAUGCAGCAACGCCGCGUGCGGGAUGACGGCCUUCGGGUUGUAAACCGCUUUCGCCUGUGACGAAGCGUGAGUGACGGUAAUGGGUAAAGAAGCACCGGCUAACUACGUG
rnacentral:rRNA from 1 species